UACAGAGGUCCCGAGCGUUGUUCGGAUUCACUGGGCGUAAAGGGUGCGUAGGUGGCAUGUUAAGUUUGAUGUGAAAGCUCAGGGCUCAACCCUGAAAUGGCAUUGAAUACUAGCGUGCUGGAGGUUUGGAGGGGGGACUGGAAUUCUCGGUGUAGCAGUGAAAUGCGUAGAUAUCGAGAGGAACACCGUGGCGAAGGCGAGUCCCUGGACAACACCUGACACUGAGGCACGAAAGCUAGGGGAGCAAACAGG
rnacentral:rRNA from 1 species